rnacentral:rRNA from 1 species
GGAGUUAGCCGGUGCUUCUUCUGUGAGUGAUGUCCUUCCUGCCGGCUAUUAACCCGCAGGCCUUCUUCCUCACUGAAAGUGCUUUACAACCCGAAGGCCUUCUUCACACACGCGGCAUGGCUGGAUCAGGGUUGCCCCCAUUGUCCAAUAUUCCCCACUGCUGCCUCCCGUAGGAGUCUGGGCCGUGUCUCAGUCCCAGUGUGGCUGAUCAUCCUCUCAGACCAGCUACGGAUCGUCGCCUUGGUGAGCCGUUACCUCACCAACCAGCUAAUCCGACAUAGGCUCAUCCGAUAGCGCGAGGCCCGAAGGUCCCCCGCUUUCCCCCGUAGGGCGUAUGCGGUAUUAGCCUGGGUUUCCCCAGGUUAUCCCCCACUACCGGGCAGAUUCCUAUGCAUUACUCACCCGUCCGCCGCUCGCCACCAGGGAGCAAGCUCCCCGUGCUGCCGCUCGACUUGCAUGUGUAGCGUCGCCGCCACGCGUCAUCUGACGCAUGAUACAACUACUCGA